rnacentral:tRNA from 1 species
GCAUUAAUGGGGUAGUGGUAACCUGGGUCGUUGCCAUGGUGAAAAGCAACUAAAGCUCAGCAUCGACCCGCCGGGGGUUCGAUUCCCUCUUAAUGCA